ACACUGUAGGGAAUCUAAUCUUAAAUUUUCACCCUCUAGUUUGGGACGGAUACGCACACACACACGUCCUUAAUACUCCAGGGGCCCUUGUUUUCUGACGCACACUGGUGUGGUGUUCUAGCAAGAUUGAUACAAUCACUUUUUAAAAACUUCCACAAAAAAAAUCAACACCCCAAUGCCUCUAAUUUGAAAUCCAAACACUAAAAAAUUGAUAUUCAUGUGUACAUUUUUAAUCACACUGGAAAGAAAAACUGAGCAUUCAGGCAAUUUUACUUUUUAUCUUUCAGACUGUUCAAAGUGGCCGGGAUUGUAUGCUAAGCUGAGAAGUUUUCCUUAACAAUCUCUGCGCCUGGGUACCUCGGUACCUAAGAUGGCCCUGUAAAUGGCAACUUUUCACUGUAGUCAUCUUCAGGGUAUCCCCAGGACCGUGUGGACUCACUCGACCAGGAGAUGAAUUUACUCAGGUGCCUCUCUGUCUCUCAGGGAAAGGACUAUGCACACGAGCAGUCAGGUUGCAAUUUUAUUCGACAACAACAAAGCCGUCGCAAGACGUGACUGGAGUACCAUCAGCUCGGUGAAAGGUGCCCUUUGGUCUGCCCGAAACCUGUCGGGUCUUCCAGAGUGAGGAGGUGACCCUGACCAAGUGUUGCAGACUGGCACAUUCCAAGAUCCAGGAC